ACGCCUUUCGAGCCCCUCUGAUGGGCUCGGUGUUGGGGCGCUAGGGGGCGGUUUCUCGCGAAGCCCCCCCUAGGCCCCCAAGCAGAAGUGCGCGGUCCGUCUGCGGGCCCCGGGUACAGUAACUCUACCGUUAACCUGGGAGAAGCAGCUGGGCUUGCCGUAAAACCCCCGACAUAGGGACCUCUGUGCCUCGCGCAGGGAGGGACCGCCAUAUG
rnacentral:misc_RNA from 1 species